GAUGAACGCUAGCGGCAGGCCUAAUACAUGCAAGUCGAACGGAAUAUAGUUUUCGGAUUAUAUUUAGUGGCGCACGGGUGAGUAACACGUACAUAACUUACCCUCAAGAGGGGGAUAGCCUUGGGAAACUGAGCGUAAUACCCCAUAGUAUUAUUGAACGGCAUCGUUUGAUAAUUAAAGCUACGGCGCUUGAGGAUAGAUGUGCGUCUGAUUAGCUAGUUGGUAAGGUAACGGCUUACCAAGGCGACGAUCAGUAGGGGGCGUGAGAGCGUGGCCCCCCACACGGGUACUGAGACACGGACCCGACUCCUACGGGAGGCAGCAGUAAGGAAUAUUGGUCAAUGCCCGGAAGGGUGAACCAGCCAUGCCGCGUGAAGGAUGACUGCCCUCUGGGUUGUAAACUUCUUUUGGAUGGGGACGAAAAAACGGGNUUUAUCCUGGACUGACGGUACCAUCAGAAUAAGCACCGGCUAACUCCGUG
rnacentral:rRNA from 1 species